rnacentral:tRNA from 2 species
CCCUCGGUAGCUCAGUUGGAAGAGCGUGGGACUGUAAUGGAUACUAUCAUCCCAAGGCCACUGGUUCGAUCCCGGUCUGAGGGA